UCUGAGGUCAUAUUCCACCAGACAAAAUGCCAACAUCUGUACCAUGUCCACGAUACAGGUCCAGCUUGCACAUGAAAAGACAGGCAUUGCGGAGCAGAGAAUUCAACCUCAUAGCAGAUAGGAAACCGGAGCACGGGCCUUGGAAAUUAGAAAUAUCAACAUCACAUCUGCAGCAGAAGCCUGAAUUUUCUUGUGAGAUCUACAUGGAGAGUGCAGCCGACUCAGAGGCAUUUGCUGUGUGAGUGCACAUUGAAAAAACAAUAACAUUUGGUGGAAUAAUAGCAAAGUGUCCUCGCAGAAUUGAUCUAAAUUACGGCUUGAUUGGAAACAGAUGUAAGAGCUGAAUUCCUAAGUACAGACUACCUGAGCCACCGGAUGGAUGCCGCUCUAGUAUUAUCACAGAGGUGCGGGUCUCACACUAACCUUUGUAUGCAGAUAGAGUAUUACCCUAAAACAUUUAGCAUGCAUAGCGGUUUAUGCCACAUACCAAUUUUGUUUUAUAUGUUACCCCUGACCAGAAUUACAAGUGAAAGCGGACUUCGCUUCAUUGAAAAAGUGAGCAUGGCAAAGCUGUGACGCUGUAUGCCAAAAAUUUACCAAAUUGUGGAGAAUAUGUUUGAUUGAAAAACUUAGUCUAGACUAUCUAAAUAUAUUCUUAGCUGACAGGAGGUGUGGUCUUCCACUGCAGUAGUCCAUAUACUUUGAAGUUCGACAUCUAUAUACUUCAAAGUUGUGCAUUCAGAGAUGGUAUUCUGCAUACCUUAGUUUUGACAAAUAUUUUGUGUUAUUGUUGCUAUUCUGUCAUUUUAACCCAGUUUGCCCAUUCUCCUCUGACAUCAAUAAUUUAUUUUCAUUCACACAACUGCUGCUCACUGGAUACUGGUUUGAUCCCCACAUCCCCACAAACCCCAC